AAUUCUUCCUCGUAAUUAGAUGUUAGCCAUGAUAUUAGUUUGUCAAAUUAAGAAAAAUAUUUGUGGCGAACGAGGGAGUUAGUGGUGGAGUGGUUAGGGAAAGACUUGUUGUUUCACUGUCGUGUCUUUGGGCGGGUGGAGGUCGGGUUUCCGCGCAUCUGGGAGAGCCAAGGGGCUGGCGGCGGUCGAGUAGUCAACCUUGGCCAUAGCGCCUGGUGUCACGCCGAUACUCCCUGCAGAAGGAAGAGUGCCACCUAGGAUAGGUAAUGUUGGCACAUGACAUGUAUAGCAAACAAACUUAUUGAACAUGGGGCUAUUAUCACUUAUAUAGUGUCAUAUUGCAGUGAAUGGGUAGAGUGGCAUACCUGUCUACUUGCAAGUACAGAUUAUGCUUCAAGCUGUCUUGAUCUCUGUGGAGGCAGAUAAGUGGCUUUGGGAGGUAUGAACAACAGAAUUGAUAUAUUUAGGGAAAAUGUGGUUGAAAGAUGAUAACCCAACAGUUAAGGAUCUCAUUCUACAACUUCGAUAAAUUAGGGGGUUUUUUCAAAUAAUGCUUACUAGAUGUUUGAAGACCGACAAAUGUCCAAAGAAGCAACACUGUGGACAUUUGUCCAAAGAACGACAAAUGUUCACAGUGCUACUUAUUUGGACAUUUGUCGGUCUUCAAACAUUUCGGAAGCAUUAUUUGAAAACACGCCUGCAUUUAUCGGAGCUGUAAAAUGAGAUCCUUCACUGUUGGGUUAUCAUCUUUCAAUCCCAUUUUCCCUAAAUUUAUCGAUUUUGUUUUUCAUGCAGGGAUGUAAUGAAAUGAUUCCUUUCAAUUGAAUAGACGGUCACUUGCAUCCUCUCGAAGGGUUAUGGAGUGCUUUAUUGAAAUCUUUUGUGUUUUAUAUUAAAAUGCCGAAGUUGUUGUUGAAAUAUUAUAAGUAAAUAAUACGGUUUUGGAUGAAGCCGCGCAUCGCGCGGGCA